rnacentral:sRNA from 1 species
UCUUGUGGUUGAGGACGAGGCGGGUGCGGAGGGUAUUGGGGGACCAGGAUUUGAAAGGGACUGUUUUGUGAGGUGGGGUUAGUUUUGGGUUUCUUUUUUUCUUCUCUUUUUUUUCCCCCUUACGGUUUGUUCUUAAGAAAUUCAAUGGGUAUUAGGAUGGAAAACUGGUAUGCAUACUUGGGAGUUUAGAGGUGAUGUCAAAGAAAUGGACGGGACUGUCGUUCGCCAUGUUUGUGUUGGUUCCUGCUACUCAGGGAGCUAAGUACGUGGAAAUUGGUUGAAUUUGAAGCGGAAUCAGGUGGGCGCGUAUAUCUGGACGGCCGUAUGUGUCUUUCUAUCGUGGCUGGGUCUCGGAAUCGCACUUUUAGCUCUCAGAUCCAACAUGAUAUACACACUAACCACGCAAAUUUGGGAAGCAACCGGCUUCAUGCAGCAUUGAAAGGCAGAAGCAGUGCAAGUUUCGGAACAAAAGAGAAAGAAAUAAA